AACGAACGCUGGCGGCAGGCUUAACACAUGCGAGUCGAGCGCCCCGCAAGGGGAGCGGCAGACGGGUGAGUAACGCGUGGGAAUCUACCCAUCUCUACGGAAUAACGCAUGGAAACGUGUGCUAAUACCGUAUACGUCCUUCGGGAGAAAGAUUUAUCGGAGAUGGAUGAGCCCGCGUUGGAUUAGCUAGUUGGUGGGGUAAAGGCCUACCAAGGCGACGAUCCAUAGCUGGUCUGAGAGGAUGAUCAGCCACACUGGGACUGAGACACGGCCCAGACUCCUACGGGAGGCAGCAGUGGGGAAUAUUGGACAAUGGGCGAAAGCCUGAUCCAGCCAUGCCCCGUGAGUGAUGAAGGCCCUAGGGUUGUAAAGCUCUUUCGCAGGUGAAGAUAAUGACGGUAACCUGAGAAGAAGCCCCGGCUAACUUCGUGCCAGCAGCCGCAGUAACAC
rnacentral:rRNA from 1 species